rnacentral:misc_RNA from 1 species
GACGAAUCUUGGCAAAAGCACUACACUUGACGUCCACAUACAAACUAUACAAGGGCUGCUGAAUUCAAAGUUUAAGAGUAUGAAAGAGAAUAUUUACAGACCAACAAGGGUUGUGAUGAAGGUAAGUACUCAUUCAUCCUUAACCAAGAGACCUCGAAUUCAAAGCCCAUAGCUACGGAGUCGCCUUCGUUAGGGAGCGUCGGGGCUAGUACCGAACAGGUGUAAAACCAACAAAAUAGGAGAAUAUUUACAGAAAAAUAUUUGCAACUGGUUCCUUGCUAGUUCUCCAUAAGAAAAUUAGAAUAUGACAGAUAAUUAAUUACCUACAAUGGAUAUUUUAAAGCUGAAAACCCAACUCCAUAAAUACCCUUCUUCACAAUUUUCCCAGAACAAACGAGGACCUUGCACUAUUCCAAAAAGCAGGGGGCAACAACCCACACAAGACAAGAACAAAUACAAAAACCCUCCAUUUGCAUAAACCAAAUACUUGGCAUGAUCAAGUCUUCCAAGCAUUCAAACAAGUUAUGAUUUACGCACACGAUCACGCCAAGAACCUUGCUGCAUUGCCAGUGCCUGUCCAUUGAUGAGACUUGUAGCAGUUGCAAUUUCAGAUAUGUCCUUUUUGACAUUCUUAUCUUCUGCUUCAUCAUUUGUUUCUGAGGAAGGUGAACAUGGCAAUAGUGAGGGAGCUCCAAAAAUAGCCUCAUCAUGAGCAGCCUCAAUUUGUUCCUCCCUCCUAGUCUCCACCGUAGAAAACCGAAAGCUUUUACCAAUGUGGUUGACUAAAGCACCAUCAUCUUCUACAGCUUCAAUCUCGUUGUCAUCCAAAGGGGCAUCCUUGUCAAAGUCAAAACGCUCCCAUCCCGAGCCCAUGCUUAUUGUUUCAUCUUUUCGAACACUUUCUGAAAGUUGAAAUUUCAUUUUGGCUUUGACUCUUUCAGCUGGAGUCGUAGUUUGAUAACCUUCAAUCAAUUUGCUAUAAUCUACCAUAGCAGCUCUAUCUUUGCCAACUUUCCCCGGUCUUUGAUCCCGUGGUGACACACUCCUUGUCCUCUUUGUAUUCUGCUUCUCUUUUUGUCUAUGUUUAUAUCUGUCUCUACUUCUACUUCUACUUCUACUUGUCGACCUAUGUGGACGCUUCGACCUAUAAGCAUCCCGGUUUUCACUCCACCUCGAAUGCCUCUCUUUAUCUCUGUUCCGGCUUCGACUCCGUCGCCUUAACUUGUGGCUUCGACUCGGGCUUCUCCGGCUGGAACGUUUUUCGCGACUUGGACUUGUGGAAACCCUACAAGAAAGGCAAUCUUUAGGUUUAUUCUUUAGCUUGUUUUGGAUGGUUUGGAGCUGAGCUUGUUUUUCGAACUCGGUGGUUUUGGACGGGCUUGAUGCCCUGACAAAGCUACCUAGAAAUGAAGAGGAAGAAACGAGAGCAGAGCCACGGAUGGGUACGGCAUCAUUUGAAGUUGAAGAAAAGCCUAGACCUUGCUUGAAUCUUGCGGCGCCUUCUCCUUUUCGUGUAAGUUCGUCGUAGUAUGCUGCGGCCUUUUCUUCCUCCAUCUU